CCAACUAACACACAAACACGCCAAGAAACACACGCAGUGACAGACAGGUCUUUCCCUCUCAUACUUGUAUCUAUUGUGCUUGCUGCAAGAAAACAAAUUUCCAGGCUUUUCAAAACCCUAAGAGAAAUUCCACCAAGAAUCCAGCUUGAAAUCUCAGCUUUGAUCACAAUUCAUGUCAUGUUAAAUACGGAGAAAGUUCAUUUCUUCCCAUAAAAAUACCAACUUUUUGGCUAUGGCUUGGUUUCCGAAAUUCUCUGCUGUUCAGCCUUCAUCAGCGGCCCUGAAGAUCUCUUCUUUUCUGGGUUUUAUUUUAAUUUGCAAGAAGGGUUUUGGAUAUCAAUGUGGUUGUCUUAAGCCCAGUUCAGUAUUUUGUUGCCUUGGAUGGAACAACCAGUUUCAGUACUAGCAGUAGCACUAAUAAGAAGCUAACAAUGGGGCUGAUGGGAAUUCAGCUGGAGCGCAAUAAAGGAGUAAAGUUAUGGGCUUUAGGGGAUUUCAACCGGGUUUGGAUCUGCCCAAUUGGCCCCCUGCCUGACCAGGCUUGGUUUCGCUCUGUUCAGCAAGAUAAUCAGUGGGAGGCGAAAAUGCUUCUUGCGGACAGGACAAAAGAAAGAAGAAGAAAGAUGAAGAAGAAGAAAAGGAAGGAUAUAACUAUGUGUUGCUCAUCAAAAAUAAAGAAGUUAGUUUCAAUCCAUCAUCGAAUUAAUGAUCUACCAGAUUCAUUGCCGUUUUGUCCGUCAGGUGCAUUUGCCAGAUCUACAGCUACAGAGUGGACAAAAAAGAAGCAUUACCACCUCUUGGCACAUUGAAGUGCUCCCAAAUCUACAGCCAGUAUCAUGAAGCUUGCGUGGAAGAACGUGGUAGAAAAAUAGACUUGGCUUCUGGUAGCUGGUAUUCUUGUUACACGUGUCAAGAGGUCUAUCUAGGUCUUCAAGGACAAGGUGGCCUCAUGAACCUGCUUCAUGAUGGAGCCUGAGGCAAGACGAGGCCGACCCAAAGACUAGG